rnacentral:rRNA from 1 species
UACGAAGGGUGCAAGCGUUAAUCGGAAUUACUGGGCGUAAAGAGCUCGUAGGCGGUCUGUCGCGUCGGCUGUGAAAUCCCGAGGCUCAACCUCGGGUCUGCAGUCGAUACGGGCAAACUAGAGUAUUGCAGGGGAGACUGGAAUUCCUGGUGUAGCGGUGAAAUGCGCAGAUAUCAGGAGGAACACCGGUGGCGAAGGCGGGUCUCUGGGCAAUAACUGACGCUGAGGAGCGAAAGCGUGGGGAGCGAACAGG